GUUGGUGCUUAAGCGGCGGGGUCACACCUCUUCCCAUUCCGAACAGAGAAGUUAAGCCCGUUUGCGCCGAUGAUACUUGCUCCGCAAGGGGCUGGGAAAGUAGGUAGGCGCCAGCA
rnacentral:rRNA from 1 species